rnacentral:rRNA from 1 species
CGCGGCCUAUCAGCUUGUUGGUGAGGUAAUGGCUCACCAAGGCGACGACGGGUAGCCGGCCUGAGAGGGUGACCGGCCACACUGGGACUGAGACACGGCCCAGACUCCUACGGGAGGCAGCAGUGGGGAAUAUUGCACAAUGGGCGAAAGCCUGAUGCAGCGACGCCGCGUGAGGGAUGACGGCCUUCGGGUUGUAAACCUCUUUCAGCAGGGAAGAAGCGAAAGUGACGGUACCUGCAGAAGAAGCGCCGGCUAACUACGUGCCAGCAGCCGCGGUAAUACGUAGGGCGCAAGCGUUGUCCGGAAUUAUUGGGCGUAAAGAGCUCGUAGGCGGUUUGUCGCGUCUGCCGUGAAAGUCCGGGGCUCAACUCCGGAUCUGCGGUGGGUACGGGCAGACUAGAGUGAUGUAGGGGAGACUGGAAUUCCUGGUGUAGCGGUGAAAUGCGCAGAUAUCAGGAGGAACACCGGUGGCGAAGGCGGUUCUCUGGGCAUUACCUGACGCUGAGGAGCGAAAGCGUGGGUAGCAAACAGGAUUAGAUACCCUGGUAGUCCACGCCGUAAACGUUGGGCGCUAGGUGUGGGACACAUUCCACGUGUUCCGUGCCGCAGCUAACGCAUUAAGCGCCCCGCCUGGGGAGUACGG